UACGUAGGGUCCGAGCGUUGUCCGGAGUGACUGGGCGUAAAGCGCGCGCAGGCGGCCCGCGAGGUGUCCUGUGAAAGCCCCGAGCUCAACGCGGGAGGGUCAGGGCAAACCGGCGGGCUUGAGGCCGGUAGAGGUGGGUGGAACUCCUGGUGGAGUGGUGAAAUGCGUAGAGAUCAGGAAGAACACCCGUGGCGAAGGCGGCCCACUGGGCCGGACCUGACGCUGAGGCGCGAAGGCGUGGGGAGCGAACGGG
rnacentral:rRNA from 1 species